UAUGAAUGAAUUUUCUAGGAAUUUCUUUCUUUUUUUUUUUGAAUUUAUAAUUUUGUUGAGAAUAACAAUAUUAUUUCUAAGACUAAAAGACCCUAAAAUUUUUAUAAUAUUUUUAUUAUUUAGUUGGGGAAACGUUUUUUUUUAAAUCUUAUUAUUUUUUUGUUUUUUUGAACUUUUUUAUUGAUAAUUUGUUUAAAUACUCUAGGG
rnacentral:rRNA from 1 species